CAAUAUCACAGAAAAGAAGUAAUCAACAGAGUGGGAGUAUGGACUCCUCAUUUAGCAAGAACAUCGACAUCUGCAUUCGCCUCUCUAUAACAAUGUUGGACCGUUGCCAUAGAAGUUGACAAAAUAUUCCAAAUUUGAUGAAAAAUAAUCCUUAAUCUUCAACGGAUUUUGGCCUUUCUCGUUCUCUUACUCCAGGCAAUAGCAUUUGCCGAGUCUCCUUCGAUAAUCUUGUCCCCUUCCAAAAUGCAUAGUAAUUUCAAACCUUCUAAUAAACCUCGUGCUUCCACCUCAUUUGCUAUUGUGAUACCACGAGGACCCAAGUAAGGAAAAAUAAUGUGACCCCAAUUAUUUCGGAUGAGUCCAACAUAGCCGCCUGGGCCUAUGUUGCCACGUGAACUUCAAUCAAAAUAAAGUUUGAAGGAAUUCACUGGCGGUGGUAUCCAAACAACCUCACUACAAAUGUUGAUGGUAACACCCAUAGCUGUCACUGCCGAAGGAUUGCUGAUGAUUAAGACUUUUAAGAAUGAAGCCAUUAUCCUUGUGUGCAAGGAACCAAUCAGCUGCAACUGCCAAAACAUUUGAUUUUAAUGUAGACUGAUCUGCACUUAAGGCUAACCCAAAUAGAUCUCCAAAAGAUAGUUCCCAUCUUUGAAAUAUCAGGUAUGAUCCAUAAGUCAAGAAGCACUUUGACAUUUUGGAGCAAAGGUAAUGACAUAUUAAAGUACUGGCCAGCCCAAUCCCAAAGAAAAAUAACAAAAGGGUACGAUAGGAAAAGAUGCUGCGAAAUUUCAUCACUGGCUUUACACAUGAUACGUACAUUAGUAAUAAUAAAUCUCCUCUUUCUCAAAUUGUCAACAGUUGCUAAUUUAUCUUAACUACACUUUAAGAAACACGCGCAAUUUCUUAAUCUUUAGAGAGAGGGUUUUGGAUAUUGCAAAGUCAUCUAAAACCCAUAAGCUAUAAGCCCAUCCCCUCUCUCCUCCAUCUUCUCUCUACCCAGCCCCCUUGUUUUCGAUUUCAUCUAUUUCUCUCUCCUCCACUCCUCUGUCUCCAAUUACUUUUCCUGUCUUUUCGCUCUCUGCCCCCUCUAUUUCCAUUUUCAUCUCUCCCUAUCUCUCAUUUUGCCCUCUCUCUCUCUCUUCUCCAAUUCUUUUCUCUCUAGUCUUUUCUCUCUAGCCCAUUUUCCCAUUCAUGUUCCCCAUUUCAUUUUCUCUCCCUCUACCCCAUUUCUGCCCCUCUCUCUCAUGUCCUUGUUUAGUCUCUCUUGCAUUUUCCUUGUUUAGUCUCUCUUUCAUUUACCUGUUGAAAAAAGGUUAAAAAAAAGGCCUAUGCCUUAUGCGAAAAAUAAAGCCUUAUCUUAAAACUUAUCGAAAAUUGUAGUUCUAACAUCAAAAACUUUCAAAUCAAUUAUCUCGACCUUAACCAUUAUAGUUGUGAAAAAAAGAAAAAGACACAUCAUCUAGACCAUCUAUUUUCAAGAAUUUAUCCGCAAGAUCUGUACCAUUUUUUUAGUUAAUGGUAGAAAUUGAUUUUAAAGCCAUCAUAAAAAAUUAUAAUACCCAAAGACGAAGUUUCAAGAUAAGGUUUUACUUUUUCCCUUAGAGCCCAGGCCAUAUAGAGACUGCACACUUGCCCAUUUUAUCUUCCCGUCUCAUUUCCCCAUUUCAUCUCUCUCAAUCAGUACCUGUUUCACGUCUCUCUCUGGCUAUCUCUCCUCUUUGUUCUCCCCCAUUUCCCCACUUCUAUCUCUUCCUAUCCCUAUUUCCCUAUCCCUUCUCUCUUGAUUUUCCCACUUCAUCUCUUCUCAUUCCUUUAUCUCUGUCCAUUUCAUCUUUCCCUACUUCCAUGAUGGGUUCUACUUAGUAUUGACAAUUACUGAGGAGGUAGUUUGUUUUUCUAGGCAUGGUUUAUUUUAAUUUAAAGGAAUAGAUAUUCAGUUAUAUUUUUCUCUUUCUAAACUCAAUAGAUAGGAAUGUUAUACACGUAAGCUCUAGAACCGUUUGGUUGAUUUUUCACAAACAAAGUGCAAGAAAAAUUAAACUAGUAUCAAGCAAACAAUAAACACAAAAAACAAGGUAAAAGAUAAAUAAUAUAAAAAAAAGGUCGAAAUUAACAUGGUUCGUCACAGAUGUGACUAUAUCGAUGGGCAUGGUAAACUGAAAUCCACUAUUUACUUUUGGCAACCAUUACUAUUUACUAUUUACUUUUGGCAACCAUUAUCGACAACAACAUAUAAAGAUGUGAGAGCAAUGAGAAACCAACUUUUCUCUACAAAGGGAUACCACUCAAAGACUUUAUGGGAACUGCUUUUCUACAAGAAACAAACAUACCUCUCGACACGAGACAUGGGCAAACCGUUUCCCUUACUAGAAGCUAACUUCUCUUUCUAAGAGCUCCUUAAGAGGCUCCUCCUUACCUGCACAAGAGGCCACAAUCUCUUUCAAGAUGAAAGUCCAACUUUCCCAUAAAGUGACUCGCCGUUUUUCUCACUAAAAGCUCACUUCUCUCUAGAGGCUCCAUAUCUACACAAGAGGCAACAACCUCUCAAGAUGAAAGUCCAACUUUCCUUUAAAGUGACCCAAAUAGGGGUACGGGCACCUUUUUUCUUUCUAUAAUAACUCAUUUAUAAAGAAAAGCACAAACCCAUAAAGUGGUAUGCGAGAGAUUCCUCUCAUCUUUUAUUCAACUUUAUGGAAAACUUUUUGUUUUUUUAUUAUUGUCUCAAUCUAUCCUAAACCAUAUAAACUCAACCAAAAUAUAACUUUCUACAUGAUUAGAAUUAUCAAAUUAAAUAAAAAACCAAAUAAAUAUAGAAACUCGUCAAUAUUAACAUCAAUCUCAAUAAUAUAGGAUUUCAUUAAGAAGGUGAUUUUGGAUAUUACUCAAUCCCACAAUCUCCACCUUGAUAUAAAAAAUCACUUGCUCGUCAUUCUAACAUGCAUCAAACAACUUAAAAAAAUUUUCAUUUUUUGCCAAAUAAAUUCCGUCAUAACUCUUGCUGAAUAAAUAUUAUUUGCCAUUAAAUUUCUCCACUUCAAAUUUUGCAUUCAAAACCUUUACUGCCACACUUACAUCCCAAAUUAGGGCUCUAAUACCAUUUGUUGUGUGCGGAAACUCUAAAACCUGUAGGUUGAUUUUUGGCAAAUAAAGUGCGAAAAAAAUAAAAUCGGCAACAAACACGCAAAAAUAAAAAAGAGAAUAAACAAUGCAAAGGAACACAAGAAUUGAUGUAGUUCGUCAAAGAUUUGACUACAUCAACGAGCAUGAAAAACUGAAAUCCACGACAUCGAUAAGAGUUACAUCACAUAUUUUGGAAUACAAAAUGUAUCAUAAUAACCAUCGACAAAACUCAAUCGAACAACCCUUUGAACCACUCUCCCAAUUGACACAACAUAUUGUUCUUCCUUCUCUUAACAUCCAACAACCAUUAUCGACAACACUAGAUAGAGAUACGAAAAACCAACUUUCUCACUGCAAAAAAGAUACCACCAAAAAUUUUUAUAGGAACCGCUUCUCUACAAUAAAUAUACCUCUCGUUCCACACGAGGCAUGAGUACAUCGUUUAGUUCACUAAAAACUCAUUUCUCUCUGUAGAGGAUUAUUCAGAGGCUCCUCUUUCUUUGUGCAAGAGGCCAUAACCUCUCUUUAAAUAAAAGUCUAACUUUCCUAUAAGGUGACCCAAAUAUAAUACACUUUUUCUCUCUCUUCAAUAACUCACUUAUAAAGACAAACACAAGCCUAUAAAGUGGUAUGUGAGAGGUUCCUCCCAUCUUUAUCGGAAACUUUAACUUUAUCUUUUCUAGGUUCUCAAGUUUAUCCUAAACCAUAUAGAACUUGCUCAGAAAAUAACUUCAUAAUUAGAAAACCUAAUAAAUAUGAAAACUCAUCAAUAUUAAUACCACAACCAAUAAUAUAAAAUUUUCUUAAGGAGGUGAUUUUUUGAUGUCACCAAAUCCAACAAGAAAGUGUUUGUAAGAGAUUACAACCGAAGUGGAAAAGCAAACAUUAGUCAUAUAAAUAAAAUGUUAAACGAAAUACCCAAAAGAGAUUAAGUAGAACCCAUACGACUAGAAAUGCAAAUAAUUGCAAGUAAACUCUCUGAUACCACUGGGAACCCAAGCUAUCUCGAUUGCUCCUUGUUGCGGUGAACUCCCCACUACAACAAAGUUAACACCUGGAUACCAACUUGCUUUCACAGGUUAAAUGAUUCCAAUAAAUCUAUACAAUCCAUAAUCAAAUAUGAUGUAGUAAAUUUCGUCAAAAUAUGAUGAAAUUAAGAGAAAGUUAAAUAGGAACUUUAAUGGCACAACCAUACACUACAAACCAUAAGCAACACACAAUAUACAUCGUUCACCCAAAAGCGGGCCACAUCCACGGGCAACCGGUAAGAAAAUGAUUCAUUAUCAAUGGAAGAAUUACAAGUUCUAGAGAUUAUCUCAUACAAUGGUAAAGAAAGCUCAACUUGAUACUUUCUACUACAAUAGCACCAAUGAUUGACUCCUUACUUUGCCUCUGUCAACUAACACAAUUGCCGCAAUGAAAUCCCAAUGAAAUCCGGCCUAAUACAAGGCCACUAAAAAGCUAGGAUUUGCUAAAACCCCCAAUCUCUAUUCUCUUCUCAUUUUUCUCUUCACAAAGAACUCCAUCACAAAAAAUUCAUGUUUCUGUCUACCCAAUGACUUUAUAGGCCUCCAUAAAAGUCAUAUUUUUUGUGACGAAAAUAGUCUUGACAUCGAGGGAAAUGCCUAAGGACAAAUGGAAGGUGAUUUUGCAUCACCAUCCCAAAUAGGAAAGGCCGAUGUGAUUGGAUUAUUGCAUACUACUCUAGUGUUAAUUUUGAUAAUUGCCAUGAUUAGUACAGAAGUCAUUUCAAUUCGAACUUUAAGAAGUAUGGGCACGUACUGCCAAGGAUCUGAGCAUAUGCAAAAGAGACUUGUGCAAAGGGUCUCGAAAAUAUGAGAUCAUGCACCGCUUGUACUUGUAGGUAGUGCAAGAAGGGAUUACACCCAAAACAUGCGAAGUGGUGCCAUGGCCUCAAGAAUUCAAGGAUGAGAGUGUUGAAGAAGGUGGCAUCUCCAUAAGAAAAACAAGCACAAAGGAAGAUGAACAAGGUGUGCUCAUGAAGGUCAUUGGGCUAGAGAGUUUAAGGCAUUCGCUUAGUUCUCUAGGUUCUUCAAGAAAGGAACAACCGGAUAUGAAUGCCAAGGCAAGGAUGUGAUUUUGCAUCAAGGUAUAGAUUGUUGGGAUGAUGAUUCAAAGUCACAUCUCAUUUGUCUUAUGGCAUUUCCCUCAAUGCUAAAGGCUAUUUUCGUUACAAAAGAUACGACUUUUAUGGAGGCCCAUAAAAUCAUUGUGUAGAGAGAUAAAUGUAAGUUUUUUGUGAGGGAACUCUUUGUGAAGAGAAAAAGGAGGAAAUUAGGGGAAGAAUAGAGAUUGGGGGUUUUGGCAAACACUAGCUUCUUUGUGGCUUUGUAUUGAAGCAAAUUUCAUCAGGAUUUACUUUCGUAGACGGUAUUAGACAAUAAAAGCAAAGCAAUGAGUCGAUCGAUGACGUUAUUGUGGUUGGAAAUAUCAAUUUGAGCUUUAUUUACCAUUGUAUGAGGUAAUCUCUACUAUACCCCAAAACUUGUAAUUCUGCCAUCAAUAGUAAAUCAUUUCCUAACCGGUUGCCUGUGGAUGUUGCCCGAUUUUGGGUGAACCACAUAUAUUGUGUGUUGGUGGUGGUUUGAAUAUGGUUUGUAGUGUAUGGUUGUUAUUAGAGUUCUUAUUUUACUUUCUCUUGAUUUCAUCAUAUUUUUAUCAAAUUUACUACACCAUAUUUGAUUCUUGGGCAUAUGGAUUUCUUGGAAUCGAUUUGUUGGUGAAAAGCAAGUUGGUUUCAACGUGUUAGAUUUAUUCUAGUGGGAGUUUCACGUAAACAAGGGGUAAUCAAGAUAACAUCGGUUCCCAACAUACAAGUGCUAUCCAAACAAGUGUUUGAGAAAUUCUAGAUAGGAAUCUUUGAAAUUCAAAAUCCAUAUAAACAGAUAGAUUUUGAAUAUAUUUAAGCUUGAUAAUUUCUCCUCCUCAAAUGAAGCUUAAAUUUCAUAAUUAAAAGUGGAAAUAGAUUUCUCUAGGAAUUUCCGCCAAUAGAACUAUGUCUUCAAGGCUUAGAGGUCUACCUUACUUCGAUUGUUUAAAGUUAGGCUUAGAGGUCUACCUUACUUUGAUUGUUUAAAGUUGACGCUUAGGCUUAGAGGUCUACCUUGCUUUGAUUGUUUAAAGUUGACGCCUUAUGUAAACCUAUGUAAACACACUCUUUUCUUUGUAAAUAGAAGCCCCAUCUUUUGGGUUGCAUUAUUAAUUUGCCUUCCUAUUUGGAGCUACAGAACUUGAAUCUCUCCAUCAAAUCUGUCCAUCAUAGUAUUUGCCCACAAAAAAUCUGUCCACCAUACAUGCAGGUAUUAUAUGAUAAUAAGACAAAAAUUCAGUUACAUGACUAACUCCUUAACCUCAUGGGAUCUCAUGCCAUUUCUCUACUACAUGAACCUACUGUUAUCUUCUCUUAGUUCAAAUAAAUAUAUCAGGGAUCCAAGCAAUAAACAUAUUGACCAAACAAACUCGGGCUAAAAUUAUAUCUCAUUCCAAUAUUUACGCAUGGCGAGGGAAGUUAAGAAAGAACUUAGAAGGAUAGGAAACUUCAAGAAGGGUAGGGUUUAGGGUUUUUUGGGUUUAUUGCUGAUAAUCAUCCUCACCCUCCAAUCCUCUAGUGAAAAUCUAAACCCCCCUCCUAGCCCAUGUGCUCCUAAAUAAACCCUCGGUUCUGUGGAAAGCCCGUAGACCCUCCAAACAGGAAAACAGGACAUAUACUCCCCUCUCUGCUUUUUACCCCCAUAAGCCAUGAAUAGUUGAGAAAACCAAGCUAGGCAAUCCUUCAUUCCUAAAGAAAUGGUCCUAGUCCCUAUUAAAUGGUCUGUCCAAACCGGGUCACAAUGUUUGGAAGCUGAAUAACUAAAAUUUUAGGGUCUGUUUGCUAGAUGGGCGCGGCGCAAUACAGUAUUUCUUCCCCAACUGAAUGCAAGGGAAAUAUCCUAGGUUCACCAACAGAGGGCACUAAAAGCUGGCAAACUUUUGCUCUAUGGUUCUUCUUAGAGCACACCAAUUACUGCAUUAAAUACUCCAGUUAUCAUGACCUUGACUGGCUAUUUACAGUGCAUUUGUGAAACUCGAGCUCAUGCGAGACCCGAAUAACUAAUUUGAGCUAUUGUGCAUGUUCUGGAGACAAUAUGACACUUUUCUAAGCUUCCCAUGUAUCAGCCAAAAACCCUAAAAACUAAUUAUAUGGGAACAUAAUACUACUUGGUGAUUAUAGAAACAAUGACAGCAAAAUGGAGUUACAGAAUGUAAAGCAUCAGUAGUGCGAUUACAAUGAGAGUCCUGAUUGCAAUUAAAUGAGAUGAUCUCAGUUGCUGCAGUAAACAAUCCACUGUAAAAAUUCACAAACAUUUUAUUUGAAGACUGUGGCCCCUCGUUUACGGACUUUUAAAUUGACAGAGACAGGUAUGUACCCUUGGAGAAUUGAAGAAGACAGGACAGAAAAGAGAUUUUCUUAACUCAGGUUAUUAGCUGAUUAUACAGUAAAUGAAAUCUGUAGUACCUGGCUCAUCUUAAACAGUGGCUAAUUAACAGAUGCUAAGCUCCUCCAAUCGGCAUUUGGGGCACCGUUAAUUGCUAACAAACGGGCUGCUUGUAUGUGAAAGGGACUUACAGGAGCCCGGGGACAGAGCUUUAAAAAGCUGUUUUUCCUUUGAUGAAGCAGCAUCAUGAAGGUGCUUAUGUGUGUAAUUUAACUUCCCUUUAGUGUUAUCAGGACAAAUGUUAGAAAAUAAUCAAAAGAAUGCUAUUCCACCUAACAGUAACUACCAAUGCUUUUAGAAGUUACCAAUGCAAUUGGCUCAAUUUUGUGAGGUCGUAUGCCUCAAAAUUAAAUAGAUUCAAGCCCAAAUAAUUAUAAAGAAAAUGAAUCCGCAUGAGAUACAUAAAAAGGUCAAAGUGCAGGGCUCAUCAGUGUUCCUAAAUGAUAACAACCAUCGACUGAGUGCACUUCAAUUAGUGACAGAAAGAAAGAACAAUAACAAGCUAUUAUGAUUCAUUUCAAGCUAGGAUCCAAGACACACUUCCAAGGUGUUUGUAUAUUAUAAAAUUAUACUUGAUUGGGACUUGGCCAAAAGCCAUAAAGAAAUCAAAUUUCAGCACCUGCUAACAAAUGCAAUGUUUAUAGCUCCUACCACUAGAAUUCUCUCUAUCAUGUUUAUCCACUGCUUUAAAAAAAAAAGAAAAGAAAAAAGAAACAUGUGCUAUGUUUGAACUCCCAGCCUUUACAUUUCAAAACUGCUAACAAAUGCAAUGUUUAUAGCUCCUACCACUAGAAUUCUCUCUAUCAUGUUUAUCCACUGCUUUUAAAAAAAAAGAAAAGAAAAAAGAAACAUGUGCUAUGUUUGAACUCCCAGCCUUUACAUUUCAAAACUGAGAGCCUUCUAGUUUGACCUAUAGGCUUUAUGCUUUUUAUUUACAAGUAACUACUACAGAAUAUUCAGAUAAAAAAUCAGUGACAUGAUUUCAUAGUCUCCGGGAUCUCCCAACUUGGUCGUGAUCCCACGCUCCUGAAGCUGGACCUUGGGUGGAUCUCACUCCCGUAUGGAGGCACAUGGUCUCCAUUCCUUAGGGAUUGGUCGAUAUAAAUCACACUCAUGUUAGAUUGAUUUUUUAUAAGGAAACAAGUCUUACGUGCAUCCAUUAAAAAAAGAAAGUAAUUUAUGUAGCAAAAUCAUGUUAUGUAUAUUUUUUAAAGAAAAAAGAGUUGCUUUAACAAGAUGGGUCUAGGACUUAAGGAUUUAUCGUGCAAUUCCAAAAAGUUGAGAUCCAGCUUCCCAUCAUUUUAGGAUCGGGAUCCCUCAAAUUUAGGGUGCACCAACAAUGAUCCCGACCAUCAGGAGCUUCGAACCUAUCACAAUCCCAAUCUCUCGAUUCUGCUCCCUCUCCCGAUCCCAACAACUAUGCAUGAUUCUCUAAAGCUCAUAGGAACUUGCAGAAGAAUGGACAAAUUAUAUCAUGGGAUUAGUUGAUCUUGUGGCUUGUUGAAUUCUUAUCUUCUUCUCUUACUUUCAUAUAGUAUCACUUAUAUAUCUAUCGAACAAACACAUGUUAAAAAUAUGGAAAUGUGUACAAUGAGACCAUUUACUUUUAGUACAAGGAGGUCACAACUACUAUUGAUUGUUAGAUGCAACAUCAGGUGGUUGGGAAUGUGACAUUGGCUAGGCACAAUGUCCAGAACAAAAUUUCUCGAAUGUUGGGACACAUUUCAAUCCAUUAAAUAUCAUAUCCAAUGGCUAAUAAUGAUUUUGACCUUCUUGUACUUAAAGUAAAUGGUCUCAUAGUAUACAAUCCCCAAAAAUAUUAUUAGUUAUUCCAACAACAAAUAAAUCACCAAAAGAAACCACUCGUGAGAAGUUGAUUCGAAGGAUCGCUUGUCACGUUCAUGAGUUGGCAGAUGCUAAGGCAUGGACUUACCACAUGUCAGAAAAGGCAAUUACUGAAAACUUGCGACUUACGUGGUGGCAUCAAAGGAUCAAGUUACCCAUAACAGUGGCAUUGGCUUUUCCACAUUCACACAUUGUAAGCUAAAGGUUGAUGGGUCUUCUAUUUAGAACCCAAGUCGAGCUGCUUGUGGGGGCGUCUUAAGACGGGAUGAUGGAUCCUUCGUUGCUGCUUUUUUAGUUCCGCUUGGGAUUGCUUCCAAUAAUUAUGCAGAAUUUCGAGGUGUACAAAAGGGUGUCGAUUUAGCUAUGCAAUUGGCCUACAUUCCCCUAUAAAUUGAGAGAUUCUACCAUACUUGUCCAAGUCAUACAGGGCAAGUGUAAAGCUCCAUGGGCUCUUCAUACCAUAUAUGCUAACUGCAAGUUUAGACUUGAGAAUCAUUCAUGGUCUAUUUGUCAUGUUUAUCGUGAGGCUAAUAUGGUGGCCGAUGUUCUUGCCAAAAAAGCUACAGUUUUGCGGAGGCCACCGCUCCAGGCCUCCAGAUUUUCUUAACCUUCCUUUACUUCAUGAUGUGGUGUAAUUACCCAAUUGUAGGGUUGUAAAAUAGUAUGAUGUAAUUAUUUUCCUAUUUUGUAUUAAUGAAAAUUAGGUAGAGGGCCUUCUCCCUCACUAAUUUGCCCAAAAAACAAAAAAAACUUCACCCUCAAAACCAGUAAAUCCCAAACUCCCCUUGCUGCCUCAGUGACAAUUCAGGUUAGCUACCUACACCCUAGAAUGGUUGGGUGUAACCCUUGAAGUUUGUCCCCCAAAAAACCAAGCUGACUAACACUUUCUGGAAAUUGAGCACUAGCGUGAUGAUUAUGGUGUUGACAUUGCAGCAUGAUAUCCCGGAUUCGAACCACAUCGCUAAUCUAACACCCGCCGCACCAAAAGAGAAAAAAUGCAAGAGAUGCAAUGAAGGGACAUUGUUGGAGCGAUUGAGUUAUUGAACUUCAAUAAGUUCUGAAAUCUACGCAACAGAUAAGAAACAAGGCUACCAAAAUUUGGUAUACACGAGAAAAUGUAACAAUAGUCGAAGUACGGUAUAGUAACAAGAAGGAUGAUUACUUUUUAAGAUGAAGAGUUUGAAGCAGCAGCCAAUACUUUAAUUAAGGGAUUACUUCGAGUUGAAACUCACACCAUGGAAUAUUGGAUGUCUUGGCCUAGUCUCACAGAGUACAGUAUGACAGUCACUAAGGAGAAACGCUAUCAAUUUCAAUAUGGGAUCCUUCAUUUUUAUUUUACUUUUUGCCAAUAAUAUUCAGUUGUCUCACUAAGAACAAAUGUUUUUGUGAUGCAGAUCUCUAAAAUGUGAAUCUUUUAAAUUAGUUUGGGUGAAUAAAAUGGACUAAAUAAGAAUUAGUGCAUGCCAAACCAAUAGCAUGAGGACAAAAUAAACUUUGCAACAGAAAAAGGAAAUUGACAUUGAACUGAAUAGAUUAACAGAGUGCAUGAUCCAUUUCUCAAAAAAAAAAAACAGAGUGCACGAUCCAUUAAAAAUGGUGUAGGCAUUAGUUCCAAUACACAAACCAAUAACUAGAUGUUAAUACAGAAAACCAUGGCUAUAACAAGAAGCAAGCAAAUGGGAGCUCAUCAUUCUGCAACUGAAAAUCAAUAUAUACCUGGUUGCCGGAAUAAUUUACAAUUCACUAAAGCAAGCAUCAAGAGGCAAAAAGUAAUCCAAUAGAUACAAAUUGAUUAAGAGAAACCUUUUUGGUUGUCCCCUUUGUCUACAAAUGUGACGACUUUUCGGUCCGUGGUCAGUUCCUCUUAGUUGUUAACUUGUUUGGUUCUCUUUCUAGAUAGUAAACCAAUGUAUCGAAGGAAUCAAACUCAUCAGAGCCAAAACAUGAUACCUGAAAAGAAAAAAGUACAAAACAACAAAAAAAUUCAAAACUUCACAGUCCAAUGCAGAAUGUCUAUCGAAUCACAGACUAGACACUUCUCGAGAUUUAUACUACGGUCGUUAUGAGAGAGAUCAAAACAGGAGAAAGAUGAAUAGCUCAACAAUUAAAAUACUAAAAACAGGACUAACGACCUAAUUAGAGACCCAACGUUCUCUUGGAUUUCAAUUGAAAUUUCAGCCCAAAUUAAGUAUAUAAUGAAAGAUUUUGUUAAAACAAGAAGGUCAUAACUGGGCUCAAUGUUUACGAAGAUUACGGGAUUGAAUUUCAUGAUAUCUGGCUGAUAAACCCUUUAUCUGAAUACCAAAUGCAGCCUAAAAUUCAGCUGGUUGUUAGCAAUUACAAGCAAUCAAAGAGAUCAAUGAGCCAGACUCAGCUAUAAUUAGUGAAUUCUGGCCAUAAAACAGAUGGUUCACCAGAAGGUGGUUGGUUUUGGACGUCAAUUAAAUGAUGAAAUUCACGUCAGAGGCGAAUAAUCUCGCACAUGGAAAGAGCUUUACCAGUUUCUGGAUCCCAAAAUGGGGUUCCUCGGAGAAAUAGAGAGAGUAAUAGGCUUGUGAGUUCAAAGAGAGUAAAAGGGGAUAUGGGUUUCUUUGUUAAUACAGGAGGGAUAUCUAUUGGGUGAGAAUUUACAGAGAGAGAGAGAGAGAGAGCAAAAGGGGAGAUGGGUUUCCUUGGUUAUAGAGGAGGGAUACGUAUUUUGGUGAGCGAUUUUAGAAAGAGAGAACAAAUGGGGAGAUGGGUUUCUUUGGUAAUAGAGAGGGAUACUUAUUUGGUGAGAGAUUCUCUCUCUCUCUCUCUCUCUCUCUCUCUCUCUCUN
rnacentral:lncRNA from 1 species